GUUACUCCUUAUGAAAUACUUUAAUCAAAUAAUAUUUUUUGUAACAAAUUUAUAAUGCAAAAAUCUGACAUCAUAUAUAUUUUUGCCUCAUUAACAAUUAUAUUGACGUCUUAUAAAAUAAAAAUAAGAAAAAAAAUAUUGACUGGUGAUUAUUAGUACAAGGUGAAAGAAUGUCGAAGAUAGUAAAGAUUAUGUCGAUGCUAAAAAGUAUCGUUAGUUAUAUACAGUAUAUAUAUAUAUAUAUCUCCCAAUUUUUAGGGCUCUUCAUCUCACCUCUUACAUUAUUCCCGGGCACAAUGCCAAAAUUACCUUAUAGGCACUUCAGAAACUUAUAUUCGUUUUUAAAUUGUGUACUUGCAUCUAUCAAAUGUGUGUGUGUAUCAGACGAAAGUAAUAUUAGCUAGCGUGAUCAAUAACAUAUUUGCAUAUAUUUUCGUAGUCGUCAAUGGAAAGAGUUCGACUAUUAUCUUCAUCGUUCCAGAUGUUUCUAUGUCACUAUGCAAAAGUGGUCACGUACUGAAAGUUGAUAGGAUAGUUUUUGGAAGCCGAUAAGCUUUUGGAAUGACGGUAACAUACGGUCAAGCAAUGUUACAGUACAUUUACUCGUACGUUAUUAGUGAGUUUCAGGAAAGGAUGUCACGAAUUCGAGAUAAGAGAGAGAGAGAAUUCUAUUUACUGUUCGUUGGACACGUGAUCUAAUUAUCGUAAUGUAACACCAUUAGAGGAAAAGUUUGAGUAUAAAUAUCUUCCUUGCACCAUAACAUGGUAAUUGUAUUUCCUGUGAGAACAUUAACAUGCUCCUGUUAAUUAUUGUUGUCUAAUCUUUGUCUGCAGCAUAUCAUGUAUACUUUCAUCGACACAAUCGUUUCUGAACUGGUAAAAAUGUUGGACUGAUCCGACAUCUACGAUCGGAUUUUAUAAACAAUAAAUAAAUAAUGCAUAUUUAAAAAAUUCUAAAAAAUGAAUAUUGAUAGAUAUGAUUAUCAUAUGUGCACAUUAUUAACAAUUAUCAUCUUAAAUUUGAAGGUUAAUUAUAGUUUAAAAGGUUUCGGGCAGUUCAUUUAAUACAAAUCGCUUAUGUGUUUAAUUUUCUUCUUUUUACUAUCUUUGGC
rnacentral:lncRNA from 1 species